AGUUAAAAUUUGUAACUUAUGUAUGGAAAUUUGAUAACUUAAUAUCAUACGAAAUAAAAGACUGAAAAUAGAUUCAUUUAUGCAUUUUUAUUGAGGAACAAAGGUUUAUUUAAGUGUCUUUGCUCCAAUGGCGAUUUAUCCUCUUACACACCAGUUCCCCUGCCUUAGAAAAAACCUCUUUCACAGGGUACAGAUGAAGAUGGUGAGCAUAAACAUUUCAGUGCGAGUUGAUAAAGGUGUGGAUAUGUUUUCUG